rnacentral:rRNA from 1 species
UAGGGAAUCUUCGGCAAUGGACGAAAGUCUGCCCGAGCAACGCCGCGUGUUUGAAGAAGGUUUUCGGAUCGUAAAACUCUGUUGUUAGAGAAGAACAAUGACGUUAGUAACUGAACGUCCCCUGACGGUAUCUAACCAGAAAGCCACGGCUAACUACGUGCCAGCAGCCGCGGUAAUACGUAGGUGGCAAGCGUUGUCCGGAUUUAUUGGGCGUAAAGCGAGCGCAGGCGGUUUCUUAAGUCUGAUGUGAAAGCCCCCGGCUCAACCGGGGAGGGUCAUUGGAAACUGGGAGACUUGAGUGCAGAAGAGGAGAGUGGAAUUCCAUGUGUAGCGGUGAAGUGCGUAGAUAUAUGGAGGAACACCAGUGGCGAAGGCGGCUCUCUGGUCUGUAAAUGACGCUGAGGCUCGAAAGAGUGGGGAGCAAACAGG